GACGAACGCUGGCGGCGUGCCUAAUACAUGCAAGUCGAACGCAGUGGGGACGGGUGAGUAACACGUUGGUAACCUCCCCUCAGAGGGGAUAACCCUUGGAAAUAGGUGCUAAACCCAUACUGGUGGAUUAACCCGCGUUGCAUUAGCUUGUUGGUGAGGGAACGGCGCACCAAGGCCACGAUGCAUAGCCGCCCUGCGAGGGUGAUCGGCCACACGUGGACUGUGACACGGCCCAGACUCCGACGGGAGGCAGCAGUAGGGAAUCUUCGGAAAUGGACGAAAGUCUGACCGAGCAACGCCGCGUGAGUGAAGAAGGUUGUCGGAUCGUAAAACUCUGUUGUUAGAGAAGCGGUAUCUAACCAGAAAGCCACGGCUAACUACGUGCCAGCAGCCGCGGUAAUAC
rnacentral:rRNA from 1 species